UAAAAAAGCUCUCUGUAAUUUUAUUACCGUUCUCUGUAAAUUAUAGCCGUUAACCUUUCUCGUCUUCUCCAAUGGGGACGCCGCUUGGCGAUCCUCCACCGAAUCCUCUCAAUAGAAGCCCUCAAUUCAGCGGGGGUAAUCCCCUACCUAUCUCUGCCAAUGGCUAUCACCAAUCUUAUGCAGCCUCUCUUACAGAACCCUCCUCUUCUGCAACCCCAAAUCGUCAAGAGCAAGGGAUGGUGAUGGCUCGAAGGUCAGUUCACAACGGGAUGCCUGCGGUGAUCUUCAAAGCAUCUGAUUGCAAUGGAAUCAUGGCAACUCCGUGUAAAAGAACGAUUGUCGGCAGGUGUAAUACCCCAUACUUUUUUCUAGCUCCUAGUGUAUCAAGGGUUAGCUUUGAAAAUGUAUAAUUCUUGAUGCGAGUAGAAUUUUCCAGCUUUAGACCCUUUCAUUUGUAGAUAAUUGAAUUACCUUUCAAACGAUACCAAUUUUAUCUUAAUUCGAUAUUCGGUUGAGAAGUUAUAACGAUUUUAGUGAAAGCAGUAGAUCACCGCGAUAAGCACCGCGUUGCGGUGAAGGACAAAUUCGCAAUUGUCCGAUUACAGUGAAGCACCACGAUUGACCCGCGUCGCGGUGAAGUUUCAGUUUCCGUUCGUCCCAUUCCAGUAGCUCAUCGCGAUUAGCCUAUAUUGCGCCAAACUUUCCAAUUGGACAAAUGACGCGUUGCGGUGGAGUGCAAAAUGACACUCAUCCUUUUCCAGUGGUGCAACGCGAUUACGUUGCGUCACGCCAGAGGCCAAAAUGGCAAUUGUCCCUUUUUCAGUAAGCCACCAUGAUAGCGUCGCGUCGCGGUGGCAUGCCAAAUCUGGAUUUUAAGUUUCGAGUAAAAUUUUAAAAGGGCAAUUUAGUCUUUUUCAAAGCCCCCAAAUCGUGAAUAACAGAGGAUUAAACCUAUUAUGCUCACUUUUCAUUAACUUUCUCUCAAAGAAACCCUAGAACAUCAAACCUUCAUCCCCAAUAAAUCCAAAUUCCUCCAUUCUUUCUUCAAGAUAACUCAAAAUUAAAGAUUCUCAAUCCAAGAACUUCAAGAAUCAAUCUUUAAGAGCACAAAUAGGAACUUAAAGUUCAAACUUCUUCAUCUAGUUAUCAAUUAAGGUAUGUGGGGUUAUGAGCAAGGAUAAAUCUUUCAUCCUUGUGCCCUAAACUAGUUUUUAACUACAAAGUUACAUGAUUUUGUAUGAUUACCCAUGAAUUUCAAUUUAGGGUUCAUACCCAAAUGUUGCUAUUUGAAGAUUAUGAGAUUUUAAGUAAUUUAAAUGAUGAAUUGCAUGGUUAUUUUCGUAUUUUCAUGUGUAUGAUAUAAAUUUUCAGAUUUAGAAUUGAAUUUCAAUGCUUUCAUUAUUAAGCAUGAACUUUACUAUGAUUUGACAUGAAUUUGAUGCAUGGGUUAUUUAGCCCUAGUUUGAAUGUUGAUAUUUCAAGAAUAACUAUACUUUAAGCAUCCCAUGACUAGUUAUUUUCAGAUCUUAAUAAAUAUUUGAUCUUUUGGUCUUAGCUUAGACUUGGAAUCUACUUUACAGUCUCAGUUACAGUUUUAGUUAACAGAUAUACAGUUGGUUUUCAUUAUAAACCAUUAUACUAGUUUUAAAGUGGAAUUCCAACAGAAUGAGCAUACAAAUUAAAGAGAGUAGUAUUUAGCACCGAGUUGGGUAUGUUCUCAUGCCCCAGAACUACGAGCCAACAUAGGUAAAAAUUAUCAGAUCAUUCCCAUUUCUAUAUGGAUGAAAGAUACAGAUGUGAUCACUUAGAUUAGGUUAUACUCCUUGGCAAGAGUAUGACACCUCUCCCCAACAUGAGAUUUUUCCAUAAGCGAACUAGACGUUGGAUACUAUAAUAGCUCACAUAGUGUAUGUCGGUUAGAUAAACCUCCCUACAGACUACAAACUACAGAUUUUAGAAUAGAAUAAUCCUAACAGAAAAGCUCUUAGAAACCAAGUGUAAAGGCUCACAAUUUUAUUCAGAUAUUGUUUUACAAAAGAUAUUAGCUAUAAGAUUUCAGAUUUCAGAUUAUAGAUACAGAAGUGAGUCCUUCUACACUUAGACAACAUGAUUUAAAGACAGAAUACUAAUACAACUUUUAGAAACUAAAUGCUAUGACUCACUAGAUUUAUACAGUAUGUUUUGCUACUCAUUAUCAUGAUUCUCAGUUUUCAGUUAUUCAAGUAAUGUGAGUCAUCUACAUUUAGCAUGCAUUCUUUUUUACAAAUUUAUAUUACUAUUGAGUUAUUGAUUUAUUUGUGCAUUCACCCCCAUAUACUCAGUACAAUCCAAAAGUACUGAUCCACAUAUACGUCUAUGUGCUACAUUAUCUCAUAAUGUAGGUUCAGGUGCUCAGUUUCAACAGCGUGAGUGAUUUCGAGUAUCUCUAUCGGCAUCCCGACAUUUGGUGAGUCCUCAUAGUUUGGGGACUUAGUCAUUUAGUUUUUCAACUUAUUAGUAUAGAUGAUUCAGUAUUUUCAGACAGUUCGAGUCGGCUGGGGGUUUGUCCCGAUGACUCUCUAGAUAUUAGUAGUAGAGACUUGUCUGGCUGUUAGAUAUGAUUCAGAUUUUCAGUAUUGAUUGAUCAGACUCUUGAGUCUAGUAUUUUCAACCAUUAUAUUCAGAUAAUUUUAGUUAGCUCAAACAGAAUUUCGCAUCUUGGCUUUGAUUAUAUAUCUUUAUUUCCUUCAUUUUGAGCUUCAGAUUUAGUAGAAGGUAGAUAGGGUUAGCUUAAGGCUACUCGUAGUCUUGAGAAUCGUGGGACAUCUCGGGACCCAUUUUAGGGGUGUUACAACAGGUUCUUGAAAUUUCGCCCCCAAAUAGAUAUUAUUAGUCUAGGCUUUCUGAGAAGUUUCCGUUAAAAGGGUCAGUUAAGAUAGAUGUUUAUGAUAACUUCAAUAUUUUCAUAACUUUCAACAAUGAUGAUGAUUUUAACUUAGUUCUUUAUUAAAGGGUGAUUGAAUUAGAUUGGUAUCAAAUUUGGUUGCAAAAGUGGACUCUGGAUUUCAAACCGGAGGAGGACACUCCUAUAGUUUUGGUAUGGGUUUUACUCCCAGGUCUUCCAUUUCAUAUGCAUAACUGGCAUUAUGCCAAACAGAUAACAGUUGUGGUUAGUAAACCCGUAGAGCUUGAUGUGGCCACCAAAACCAUGAAUAGGCCAAGUAUGGCAAAAGUGAGGGUUGAAAUCGAUCUUCUUAAGCCUCUAAUUCACAAUGUUUGGGUGGGUACAGAGGAUGAAAAUUCUCCAUUGAAAGGUUUUUCACAACAGAUCCAGUACGAGAAUAUUCCAAAAUAUUGUUAACACUGUAAGAAGCUUGAUCACUCUAUAAUCAAUUGUCGUGUCUUGGAAAAGAAAAAGGAAACAGAAAAGAAAGAGACAUUAGUAAAAGCUCAACAUGGACUUGAUCAAACUUCUACAAAACAACCCAAGACUAUUACAAACAAUCACGAUGAGCUACAAAACAAUCCAAAUAAGCAUCAAGAAAUUCGAAAUAGGGGGAGAGAUACGUCAAUUAAUAAUGCCCCCUCAAAAAGAAGCUUUAGAGGAAAGAGUAAACCCCCUAAAGGGAAUUACCUGCCAACUAGGAAUACAUUCGGGAUCGAUAAGCCUCAUGCUACUUCAUUAGCUGGAUUUGUCAACCAAAAGGGCAUCACAAGAGUGAAUAACAUCGAGGAAAAUCAAGAACAAGCCAACAAACAAAUUAUGACUCAUGAAGUGCCAAAAGACAAAUCCAAUAUUGCUAUGUAUGAAAGAGGAAAGGAUCUUGCAAAGGAUAAUAACAACGAUAUCAAUGAUGAAUCUGGAAUACAAAAAGAGUCUAUAGUUCCAAAACCAAAUAACACGAUAACCAUAAAAAACAACCAGGAACUCCAAACAGACAUUCUUGAUGGUGAAUGGAAAGAAGUGGGAAGUAAAAAAAGCAAGAAAAAGUUAGGAAAGAAAGUUGGAUCUCGUGGAAGAGAGCAAGAAAUUAGGGAAAUAAGUGAGGAAGCAAUUGCUGCUAUCACGCAAAAAAACUUUGAUGAGAUAAUGGAGGAAGAAGAAGAACAAUUGGUUAGCACGGGUAAGUCUAAUCCAAAAGGUAACAACGAAAAUAAAAAAGUUGCAGAUGAUGAAGACUCAGAAUCCCAAGAUGAAGUUAAGAUUCUUGAUUGAUAGUCAUAAGAUCUCUUUAGUUGCGAUUCAGGAACCUUUUGUUAAAGAGAUAAAAAUUGAGUAGUACAAGAAUACUUUGGAUAUGCAUAAUUGUUUUGCAAAUUGUAGCAACAAGAUUUGGAUUUUCUGGAAGCAUGGCUUGGAUUGUUCGAUCCACUCUAGUGAAGAUCAAAUUACUACUUGUAGGAUUUUAUGGGAAGGCCAUUACUUUUUUCUAUGAAUAGUGUAUACUAAAUCAACUACUUUGGGUAAGGAGGAUUUAUGGAUGUACAUGAGAGCCUUUGCUACUACUAUCAGUUCUCCUUAGGCAGUUGCUGGUGAUUUUAAUAGUAUACUAAGUGCAGAAGAAAAAUUAGGGGGAAAACCCCAUAAACUUAGCAAGAGUAUCCCUUUUAUGGAGUGCUUAUAUGACUGUUCUCUGUGCUUAUAUGACUGUUCUCUUACUGAUUUUGUAUAUACUGGUAGUAGUUUCACCUGGUGUAAUGAUCGAAAAGAGCAAAGUAUUAUCUGGAAGAGGUUAGAUAAAAUGGUUUGCAAUAACUCUUGGAAUGAUAGCUUCUCCCAUUGUAAUGUUCAUCAUCUUCCAAGAGUUGGAUCUGACAAGAAGUGUGAUAAAGAUGCGAUCGUAUAAAAUGAAUAUUCAUCAAAUUUACUAUUUUUCAAUUUGUUCUUUCGUCGAUGGAAAAUGAAAAAUCGGAAAAAUGAUUCAUUCCAACUGCCCUAUACUAAUCACUUUCGGAAACAACAUUGACCAUCAUAUAAAGUACUUUAGAUUUCUUAACUUCUGGCCAGAAUAUGAUGAUUUACAGAACAUCGUCAGAGUUAGUUCAAAUAUUCAGAUUAAUGGCAAUAUUUUUUGGCAGGUACAUCAGAAAAUGAAGCAUACUAGCAGAGCAUUGAGUAUUUGGUCUAAACUCAACAUUAGCAAUUUUUUGAGAAAACUUAACAACUUGAAAAAGAG
rnacentral:lncRNA from 1 species